rnacentral:piRNA from 1 species
UCCUGGAAGUUCUACAGAAUCAUGGACACA